UACGUAGGGUGCAAGCGUUGUCCGGAAUUAUUGGGCGUAAAGAGCUCGUAGGCGGUUUGUCGCGUCGGCUGUGAAAACCUGGGGCUCAACCCCGGGCCUGCAGCCGAUACGGGCAAACGUAGAAUUCGGUAGGGGAGACUGGAAUUCCUGGUGUAGCGGUGAAAUGCGCAGAUAUCAGGAGGAACACCGAUGGCGAAGGCAGGUCUCUGGGCCACUACUGACGCUGAGAAGCGAAAGCAUGGGGAGCGAACAGG
rnacentral:rRNA from 1 species